rnacentral:rRNA from 2 species
UACGUAGGGGGCAAGCGUUAUCCGGAUUUACUGGGUGUAAAGGGAGCGCAGACGGCAGUGCAAGUCUGAUGUGAAAGCCCGGGGCUCAACCCCGGAACUGCAUUGGAAACUGUACAGCUUGAGUGUCGGAGAGGUAAGCGGAAUUCCUAGUGUAGCGGUGAAAUGCGUAGAUAUUAGGAGGAACACCGGUGGCGAAGGCGGCUUACUGGACGAUUACUGACGUUGAGGCUCGAAAGCGUGGGGAGCAAACAGG